GGGUGUAAAUUGGGUGUAAAAUUUUUCUAAAAUUGCUCAAAGUAUUGAUAUUAAAAGCUUUUUGUCAGCUUCCCAAGCUGAAUGUCGUGGGUUCGAGUCCCAUCACCCGCA
rnacentral:tRNA from 1 species